rnacentral:rRNA from 1 species
UACGGGGGGGCGAAGCGUUGUUCGGAAUUACUGGGCGUAAAGGGCUCGUAGGCGGCCAACUAAGUCAGACGUGAAAUCCCUCGGCUUAACCGGGGAACUGCGUCUGAUACUGGAUGGCUUGAAUCCGGGAGAGGGAUGCGGAAUUCCAGGUGUAGCGGUGAAAUGCGUAGAUAUCUGGAGGAACACCGGUGGCGAAGGCGGCAUCCUGGACCGGCAUUGACGCUGAGGCGCGAAAGCCAGGGGAGCAAAG